rnacentral:rRNA from 1 species
UACGGUAGGUGGCAAGCGUUUGUCCGGAAUUAUUGGGCGUAAAGCGCGCGCAGGCGGCCUUUUAAGUCUGAUGUGAAAGCCCACGGCUCAACCGUGGAAGGUCAUUGGAAACUGAAAGGCUUGAGUACAGAAGAGGAAAGCGGAAUUCCACGUGUAGCGGUGAAAUGCGUAGAGAUCGGGAGGAACAUCAGUUGCGGAAGGCGGCUCUCUGGACCAGCACUGACACUGAGGCACGAAAGCGUGGGGAGCAAACAGG